rnacentral:tRNA from 1 species
GCCCGGUUAGCUCAAUCGGUAGAGCGUGAGACUCUUACGAGUACACACUCCAAAAUCUCAAGGUUGCGGGUUCGACCCCCGCAUCGGGCU